UGACAGGUGGUGCAUGGUUGUCGUCAGCUCGUGUCGUGAGAUGUUGGGUUAAGUCCCGCAACGAGCGCAACCCUCGACCUUAGCUGCCAGCAUUCAGUUGGGCACUCUAAGGUGACUGCCGGCUAAAAGUCGGAGGAAGGUGGGGAUGACGUCAAAUCAUCAUGCCCCUUAUGACCUGGGCUACACACGUGCUACAAUGGGCGGUACAAAGGGUCGCGAACCCGCGAGGGGGGAGCCAAUCCCAAAAAGCCGCUCUCAGUUCGGAUUGCAGGCUGCAACUCGCCUACAUGAAGUCGGAAUCGCUAGUAAUCGCGGAUCAGCACGCCGCGGUGAAUACGUUCCCGGGCCUU
rnacentral:rRNA from 1 species